CUUACAAAGUUUGCAAAUUUUGUAUACUUUUGUAUUGCAUGCGAAAAUUGCAAAACAAAAGUAUACAAAAUUUGCAAACUUUGGAAGGCUAU